GCAAGUCGAGCGCAGUCCUUCGGGACCGAGCGGCGGACGGGUUAGUAACGCGUGGGAAUAUACCCUUUACUACGGAAUAGCCUUUGGAAACGAAGAGUAAUACCGUAUACGCCCUUCGGGGGAAAGAUUUAUCGGAGAAGGAUUAGCCCGCGUUAGAUUAGGUAGUUGGUGGGGUAAUGGCCUACCAAGCCUACGAUCUAUAGCUGGUUUGAGAGGAUGAUC
rnacentral:rRNA from 1 species